GCUCGCCGGACAGACUCCCAGGACCUGCCUUGGUACCCCGCCGUGCCACGCCCCCCUUGAUAGCUGCCAAUUGGGCAAGAGCGCUCGGAACCAAGGGCAGAACAGCCCACCUACAGCAAAAGCAUACGGCUGAGGGGAAAUGAGCCUGCUUCAGACUGUUCACAGCAGCAGACUAUUUGCCUCAUGCAGGCUCUGAGAACAUGCACUUUGCCAGCUGCAAAUAAUUUAAUUCUGGGGACUCUGGAGAGGGAAUAAAUGCCAACGCUGAGAUGGGUGGAGGCACUCCCAAAGAAGGCUACUGCUUCUCUCCCUGGCCCCUUCCCCAUCAAGCUACUGCUGGUUCUUCCUGCUGUUGUGUUUGCUGUUGCUGGUUUGCUGGAUAGCCUGAUGAUAAAGAUUUGACUUGCUCAAAAGAAAUAUGUCUUCAAACAGCAGGAACUAGUCUGAAGAGACAUGUGCCACCACCACCCCUUUUCAACUAACCUUUUUCUCCUACCUGGUGUUAGAAAGGAUUAGGGUUGGAAAAGAGGUCUAAAAACCCAAAUAAGAUAGCUAAAAAUAAGUAUACCAACAAUGUAUUUACCCCUUGGCUCUAUCGGGGAUUGAACCUGCAGUUUUUAUGCUGGACAAGCACUCUAACACUGAGUUAUAGGCCCAUCCCUCAUCAUUUUUCCAGAGGAAACUCAAGGCUUCUAUACUCACACUUCCCAAUUCCAAAAUAAGACAGGAACACACAAAACAAAAUCUAAUAAAUGUUGCAAGGAAAACCAC